AAAAAUUUAAAUACCUCCAUAAAGUUCAAUUUUUCAUUACUGAAGUAGUGAAGCAGAGGUGGGGGGGGGGGUUAAAAAGCCUUUGCCCUGGGCCCCAAUCACGCUAAGUUGGGCCUUGCCAGCACUUUACGAUAGAACAACGCACCCUCGAUCCCUACACAGGCAUAUCAAAGUGGUCACCCACCCGCUUGCUUAGUGACCGCAGUCAUUGAUGUUUGACUUCCCAUUAGGAAACGUUUUAAAUAAGGAGCUACAACUACUGAUCCUGUUUUUUUACUCAUAUGCAUACGUUACUCAAUUGAACGUGACGAGGCAACUCAUUUCUAAAUUUUCGAUAGCGAAGGAAGGGGAAACAAAUAAAGCGAGAAUUGUCCUUAAAAUCAAGGAUUGAAGUUCAGGUAAAAGCUAUCCUCAGAAUAGCAUAUAAGAUCUAGUUUUACUCUGCCAGAAGAUACGCCAGAAGACGUACCCAGAGUCCAAUCAAAUUUCAUAACUAAUUUUAAUAAAAAAAAGCAAAUUUCGCCGGCAACUUGUUUAUUCUAAAUCGUCUUCCUCAUCGAUGGUAUAAGUUUUGGUUUCAUAGUUUCCCGUUACUAGUGUAUUUUGUCUGCACCUUUUAUAAAAGCGCUUUUGUAAUCGAUUGUGGGAAGAAGGAUGUCUUCGGACCGUAAAGCAGUCAUAAAAAAUGCAGACAUGUCAGAAGAGAUGCAGCAGGAUGCUGUUGAUAUUGCGACCCAAGCUCUGGAGAAGUAUAAUAUAGAAAAAGAUAUUGCUGCUUAUAUCAAGAAAGAAUUUGACAAGAAAUAUAACCCAACCUGGCAUUGUAUCGUAGGUCGAAAUUUCGGUAGUUACGUCACUCACGAAACGAAGCACUUCAUUUAUUUCUACUUGGGACAAGUUGCAAUUCUCUUAUUCAAAUCUGGAUAGACCCCUCAAGUAAUAAACUCUGUUAGUUCUUUAUUUUCUGCAUCAUCAUUUGUUUGUAUAAUAUUUAUUUUAAUCUGUUGUACAAAUUGUAAUUAUCAGUUACAUGUUCAUAAGUGAAAUACUCAAAGCUUGAAUAAAGUCAGUUCUUGCAUC